UACGUAGGGUGCGAGCGUUGUCCGGAAUUACUGGGCGUAAAGAGCUCGUAGGUGGUUUGUCGCGUUGUUCGUGAAAACUCACAGCUUAACUGUGGGCGUGCGGGCGAUACGGGCAGACUGGAGUACUGCAGGGGAGACUGGAAUUCCUGGUGUAGCGGUGGAAUGCGCAGAUAUCAGGAGGAACACCGGUGGCGAAGGCGGGUCUCUGGGCCGGAACUGGACGCUAAGGAGCGAAAGCGUGGGGAGCGAACAGG
rnacentral:rRNA from 1 species